GCCAAGUCCACCUGUAUUUUUGUCCAUCUGAUAAAGCUUUUUUCAACUGAUUUUUAUAGUUCGUUCUUAUGUUGUACUGUUAUACCACUGUCCGAGGAGGUUAGGGGAGGGUUGGGAUCCCGCUAACAUGUUUAACCCCGCCACAUUAUUUAUGUAUGUGCCUGUCCCAAGUCAUGAGCCUGUAGAUUCAGUGGUUUGUUUAUGUGUUACAUAUUUGUUUUUCGUUCAUUUUUUUACAUAAAUAAGACCCUUAUUUUUUUUCGUUUGAAUUGUUUUACAUUGUCUUAUCGAGGCCUUUUGUAGCUGACUAUGCGGUAUGGGUUUUGCUCAUUGUUGAAGGCCGUACGGUAACUAUAGUUGUUAAUGUCUGUGUCAUUUUGGUCUUUUGUGGAUAGUUGUCUCAUUGGCAAUCAUACCACAUCUCCUUUUUUAUAGUAUGGAGGCGUAGUGAGAGCGCUCUAAUGUUGUAGUAAGAUCGCAUAGGUCGCUGUACUAUCGCAGUCACAGCGUAACGAAAGCGUGAUUCUACUC
rnacentral:lncRNA from 1 species